UUGAUUAUGAACUGUUGCCUUCAGUGCUGGCCAGCUUCCACUGGCAAGUGCACGCUGGUGACUUCAAUCCAAUACCCUGUGCACCCUUCGCCUUUGCUAGCUUUGGCUGGUAGAGGAUAUUUACACCGACUCGAAUGUAAUGAAAUUAGUGUUGUGCGCAAGCACAAAUGUACAACUUUCAACAACGGAUCUCUUGGCUCUCGCAUCGAUGAAGAACGCAGCGAAAUGCGAUAAGUAAUGUGAAUUGCAGAAUUCAGUGAAUCAUCGAAUCUUUGAACGCACCUUGCACCCUUUGGCAUUCCGAAGGGUAUGCUCGUUUGAGUGUCAUUAUACUCUCACACUUCCAAUUCUUUGGAUUGGGAGCGGUGGACUUGGGUGCUGCUGCUUACCGUGGCUCACCUCAAAUGCGUUAGUGCAACCGUUGGUUAGACAUAGUACAGCGUGAUAAGUAUCUUCGCUGGCGCCUCCCUUGUGGAGGGUGGCUGACCCAGGGCUCUGUGCCUUCUAACCGUCUUCGGACUCUGCUGACAA
rnacentral:sRNA from 1 species